CCGUAGGCGGGCCGAUAAGUCAGUGGUGAAAGCCCAUAGCUCAACUAUGGAACUGCCAUUGAUACUGUCGGUCUUGAGUAUAUAUGAUGUUGGCGGAAUGUGUAGUGUAGCGGUGAAAUGCUUAGAUAUUACACAGAACACCGAUUGCGAAGGCAGCUGACAAAUAUAUAACUGACGCUGAGGGACGAAAAGUGUGGGGAUCAAAACAGGGAUUAGAUACCCUGGUAGUCCACACCGUAAAACGAUGAUUACUAGAUUUUGGCCUUAUGGUCAGAGUCCAAGCGAAAGUGUUAAGUAAUCCACCUGGGGAGUACGUCCGCAAGGAUGAAACUCAAAGGAAUUGACGGGGGCCCGCACAAGCGGUGGAGCAUGUGGUUUAAUUCGAUGAUACGCGAGGAACCUUACCUGGGCUUGAAAGUUAGUGACCGCUCCUGAAAGGGAGCUUUCCGCAAGGACACGAAACUAGGUGCUGCAUGGCUGUCGUCAGCUCGUGCCGUGAGGUGUCGGAUUAAGUUCCAUAACGAGCGCAACCCCUAUUUCUAGUUGCCAGCGAGUAAUGUCGGGGACUCUAGAGAAACUGCCCGCGUAAGCGGUGAGGAAGGUGGGGACGACGUCAAGUCAUCACGGCCCUUACGUCCAGGGCGACACACGUGCUACAAUGGUAGGGACAGUGAGUUGCAAGCCGGUAACGGUAAGCUAAUCUACAAACCCUAUCUCAGUUCGGAUCGAGGUCUGCAACCCGACCUCGUGAAGCUGGAAUCGCUAGUAAUCGCAUAUCAGCCAUGAUGCGGUGAAUACGUUCCCGGGCCUUGUACACACCGCCCGUCAAGCCAUGGAAGUUGGGGGUGCCUAAAGUCGGUUACCGCAAGGAGCCGCCUAGGGCAAAACCAGUAACUGGGGCU
rnacentral:rRNA from 1 species